UACGUAGGCAGCAAGCGUUGUUCGGAGUUACUGGGCGUAAAGGGUGUGUAGGCGGCUCUCUAAGUUUGGUGUGAAAUCUCCCGGCUCAACUGGGAGGGUGCGCCGAAUACUGAAGGGCUAGAGUGCGGGAGAGGAGAGUGGAAUUCCUGGUGUAGCGGUGAAAUGCGUAGAUAUCAGGAGGAACACCGGUGGUGUAGACGGCUCUCUGGACCGUAACUGACGCUGAGACACGAAAGCGUGGGUAGCAAACAGG
rnacentral:rRNA from 1 species